GACGAACGCUGGCGGCGUGCUUAACACAUGCAAGUCGAACGGUGAAGCGCCUUCCUUUUUGGUGGGUGUGGAUGAGUGGCGAACGGGUGAGUAACACGUGAGUAACCUGCCCCCUUCUUCUGGAUAACCGCAUGAAAGUGUGGCUAAUACGGGAUAUUCUGGGUCUGUCGCAUGAUGGGUCUGGGAAAGAUAUUGUUUCGGUGGGGGAUGGGCUCGCGGCCUAUCAGCUUGUUGGUGGGGUGAUGGCCUACCAAGGCGGUGACGGGUAGCCGGCCUGAGAGGGUGGACGGUCACACGGGGACUGAGACACGGCCCAGACUCCGACGGGAGGCGGCAGUGGGGAAUAUGGCACAAUGGGCGCAAGCCUGAUGCAGCGACGCCGCGUGAGGGAUGGAGGCCUUCGGGUUGUGAACCUCUUUCGCCAGUGAAGCAGGCCUGCCUCGUUUGUGGGUGGGUUGACGGUAGCUGGAUAAGAAGCGCCGGCUAACUACGUG
rnacentral:rRNA from 1 species